GUCCCUUCGGGGGCAUCUGAUAAAAUUGGAACGAUACAGAGAAGAUUAGCAUGGCCCCUGCGCAAGGAUGACACGCACAAAUUGAGAAAUGGUCCAAUUUUUU
rfam:Capsella rubella cultivar Monte Gargano unplaced genomic scaffold scaffold_8, whole genome shotgun sequence.